GGGUGGGGGGGUGGGGUGGUCUGCAGCCCGGCAACAGGGCCCCCGGAAACUGUGGUGUUUCCCGCCACGGCAACGGUCUGCUGCUCAGCCGUGGCGGCAGCAGCGGCAGGGAAAGGAGGCUGGCAAAUAGGCGGGCGAGAGCGGCUGGCGAGCAGGCGGGGAGCCUGGCGCAGAGCUCGCAUGGUCGGCCGCGUUGACGUCCAGCCUGCGCCCGUGCCUGCCUACGGGUGAUGCGCUCAGCUCCUGGUCAGACUCGUCCCUGGGAAAGCAGCAGCCGCGUGCCUCGGCCUGGGCAGAGACCUGGGGCUCCAGGGCCCCGGCCAGGGCUGCCGGAGAGGCGCGACGCGCUUCUGACAGAGGGCCGUCAGCGGCUCCGUCGCUGGCGGGAUGCGUUCGAGCGGUCUCGAGGAGACGGGGAAGGGGCUCCCCGCCCUCAGCCGAAAGCAGCUUGGCGCGACCCCGGUGCCUGGGAGGCCGGACCCCCGCGGAGGUAGCCCAGUGAUGAGCCGCCGCCACCGCCGCCGCCACCGCCUCCUCCUCUGAGCCGGGAGGGA